rnacentral:sRNA from 1 species
AGUGCUGGGAUUACAGAUGUGAGCCACCAGGCCCGGCCUCUUAAUUACUAAUCAUGAGCCGACACCCACACUGCCAGGAUCCAAGAUGCAGGGCUGGUGUUGGCAGACGCGCUCCGGAAAUUCUUAUUCGAUCUGGAUGUUGAUGAUGGCCUAGCAGCUGUUGGUUACUCCAAAGCUGAUAUCCCCGCACUAGUGAAAGGAACGCUGCCCCAGGAAAGGGUCACCAAGCUUGCACCCCGUCCCCAGUCAGAAGAGGAUCUGGCUGCUCUGUUUGAAGCUUCAAUGAAACUGUAUUAAUUGUCAUUUUAACUGAAAGAAUUACCGCUGGCCAUUGUAGUGCUGAGAGCAAGAGCUGAUCUAGCUGGGGCUUUGUCUUUUCAUCUUUGCGCAUAACUUACCUGUUACCAGUAUAGGUGGGAUAUACAUUUAUCUUGCAGGAAAUUCCCCAAAGCUCAGAGUCCAGUUCCUUCCAUAAAACAGGCUGGACAAAUGACCACUAUGUUAGACCCCCAGGCUCGACUUCAGGGGUCAGUGUUCCUGUCCCAAACCCCACACAGAAUACUCUGCCUCUGCUUCAUGUAGCAAAUGAGCAAAAACUCAGUAUCUAUC